rnacentral:rRNA from 1 species
UACAGAGGUCUCAAGCGUUGUUCGGAUUCAUUGGGCGUAAAGGGUGCGUAGGUGGCGCCGUAAGUCAGGUGUGAAAUUUCGGAGCUUAACUCCGAAACUGCAUUUGAUACUGCGGUGCUUGAGGACUGGAGAGGAGACUGGAAUUUACGGUGUAGCAGUGAAAUGCGUAGAGAUCGUAAGGAAGACCAGCGGCGAAGGCGGGUCGCUGGACAGUCCCUGACACUGAGGCACGAAGGCCAGGGGAGCAAACGGG